UUAGAGAAAUAUCACAGUCUUCCAUAGAGAAAAUACCUGGCUCUCCUGAUUAGCUUCUUUUGAUGGUGGUGGUGGGGUGUGAAGGCAGCAGGAAUAUUACUCAUUUUCCAAAAGAGAAACAUCGUGAGUCACACAGCUACAGCGCAUAUCAAUUUUUCAUAACAAAUGAACUUAAAAUGGUUGGCAAAGCCAUUGCAAUUAGGUGGUCUUUUUUCCUUCCUCGUGGUGGGAGAAGGACGCUUUCUGCUGUGAUGGGGCAUGCUAGAUUUAAGCUAAAUCUUGAUUUCCAGAGUAACAGAUCACCCAAACUAUUCGCAUACGAUAGUUGUACAGAACAAACAGGAGACAAGAGGUUGGAACCAAAGGGCUCUUGCCCUCCUGUUUUUGAGCCAAAGGUGAAAUUUUGAAAAGCAAAACGUAGACAAAUGCACACUUAAAUAGGUUUUUUUUUCCUCCCUUCUGUUUUGAAGAUUUUCAAGGUGGUCUGAGAAGAGAGUCAUUGCAGUGAGGGUUGCCCACCAGGGAGGAAAACAAAGUAUCAAUUCAUGUGGAGGGCUUUCCAACAGAGAGGGUCUUGGGUUGAAUUGAAAGAAAAGGAAACUUCUGUGUGUGUGUCUGUGUUUCUCUGUGUGUGCGCGCACGUGAGGUGGGGGGGCUGUGAUGUGGGCCACGGGUGAAAAAUGUUAAGGAAGAAAGUCCACUGGAGGGACGUGCGGAAGCAGCACAGUCCAAAGAAGGGGAAGCAGUGACAGGCGCAGAGGGCGGGUGUGAUAAGGGAGGCCCAUAACCACGGCAGGUGUCGGGAGCAGCUGCAGCUUCUCAGGAUCCUGAUCAGAGCAUCAAAAACAGUCCGGUGAGGGGGUUUGGCUGGUCAUUGUAGGCUUCUUGCCCCAGAGGACAUUCCUGAUAAACUCCUCCUGGUCAUGGAAGAGGUGGACUUAGGGGAGAGGUGGCAGCACCUAUGUUUGCAUGGGCUGCUAAGGCCAUGGACACACUCCUCGGGACACAUGGAAAAUGUGAUGGGUGAUGGUGCCGAGCUGUGACAGCCUUGAUCCAGUUCCUUAUGGACAAAGAUACAUAAAGUCAUCAUGAAUAAAUGGCGCCUUUUGUUGGCAUAUUAGUCCAAAGGUCAAGAACUGAAUAGACCACAGGACAGACAUAUUUUCCUGAUGGAGGCAGGGGGGGUUGGAAAGUCUGCACACAAUGGAAAGCUUAACACACCCUGUUUUUCCCACUGCCUUCCAGAAUGCUAUACUGACAAGCAACACUUUAUUUCAAUAAUAACCUAUUCUUACUUUUUAAAAAAUAUUUAACUGUAGGAGUAAGUGGACUAUGCGGCUUUUUUUGUGUCUCAACAGUGUAUAAACCAGAUGAUAAGAAGCACAGAACAGAAUAAAAGGUGCUUAUUCAAGAAGGGAGUUGGAGUUGGAAUAUUUCGUGGUGGUGGAAUGUGUAGCACUGGGGUAGGAAACAAAGGCCAACAGAGGAGCACAUCCGUUACUUUGGGUGCUGCCGUGAUGACCUGGCACAGUUCAAUGUCAAGCCAAGUGGAGUGGCAGGCAAGCCAUGUGAUCUCCAUUUCAAAGCUGCUAUUUUGUCAUUUUUGUGGAGAAUUUGAGCUGGAGGUGAUUAGCUCGAGUCACCCUUUGAAAUACAUACAACACUUUUGGAAAAUAUGCUUGUGAGAAAAGGACUUAAAAAAAACCCAAACAGAUGGUUAUGUACAAUUGUCAAUUCUGAUUAGGAAGAUGGUAUUUCGAUUCGGAAAGCUAGGAGUCUCUUUUAUGUCCAGCAGCUGGAAAGAUACAUUGAUGAUGGAGAGGGUAUGUUUUAUUUAUAACCAAAUAGUACGGUAACAACGGUGUAGGCAGACUUUGCAUUUCUGAAGGGUUAAUAUGCAAAUAGACUAGAGAAGGGAUUUUAUUCCUCUUAGAGAGCUUGUGUGCAGGAGGUAAGCAGCUUCUGCUUGAAAGUCGUUCUCGGUUAGGAGUUGUUUUCCGUUCUGAACGUGGAAGUUGCUUUUGAUGCCGCAGCAGCCUGUUCAAGUGUGUGCCUCCUCCUUUCCAUCCACCGCCCUUUAAACAGCCUCACCUGGAUGCCUCCCCUUUCGAGGAGCCGUUUUGGUCAGAACUGGGACGUGUCUGGGUCCCAGGCUGGCGUCUGUCAAUGGCAUCCUCUCAGGGAAUGAACUCAGCUCACGAUUGUAAAGCGGCCAUCUGGACACCUCGCCACGAGGGCCACCGCAAAGGUAGGCUGCAUCAGAUGCGUUUCCAUUUCACGGGUGGGUAUCUGCAAUGCAAUGGAUGCUGCCCAACAGGAGACACACACCACGUAGGAUUUUGAUGAAAUAUUCUCUUAGCAUUUUUGCAAUUUCUAGACUGUGUGGAAGCUUUAUUAUUUUUCCUUCUUUAGUUACUGCUAGAACAGGAAAAAGAAAAAAAUAAAGCAAAGCAGAAAAAAAGGACCGUUUUGGUGGCCAGAGCAAGGUCUUCCCAAGUUAGUGCUGGUGUUGGCGUCGACGGCACGGCUUGGCUGUCCUGAAGAACGAUGUUCUCUCUGUGGACAGCACAAGACUGGGCCCUGCAGAGCAAUGCAAGGAAGGAAAAGGCUCUGGGGCUUGGAUCAUCUAGUUGGGGAGCCCAGUUGGCCGCAGUCGCUGUGGAUCAUGUACCCGCCCCAUGAAGGCGAGCAUGGGCCCAUCAGCCUGACCUCAGAGCCCAGCACAGCAGGCCUCUCCCCUGCUGCUUGUGUGCCCACUGGAAAGGAAGCCGUGUGUUUUAGUCAGACGCUCACGUCCCCGUAUCUUAGAACAGGAAGAGCCGUGAAAUGAUGGGAUGGCCAGGGGAGGAGCAAGGAGAGUUAAAUUCAAAUUUGGGAUUUUCUCACUCCAGUGAUUUUUGGUAAAUGCUGUUAAAUAUUAAGUGCAUAUAUAUUGUUUUAUGAAUAGUAAGACACAAAAAAGUCAUUGGAAAUGAAAGCAUUAUUUGAGGCACUGGAAAUAUAAACCACAUAAAUGCUAACUUCAGGUUGUUUAUCAAACAUACCUGGAUGAAUGGAUGAAAUAAUUGAUAAAAUCUACCUACAAUUUGCAGUCAUGAUGAAGAUUUGGGGAAAAGAAGCACUUCUGUUAGUUUUGCAAGCUUCUGGCUGAAGCAGCAGCAGGGCAGGCCAAGCAGGCCCCACAUAGGCGAGGCAGAGGGUCUGCAGGAAGGAAGGAAGGAAGGCCCUGGGCCCACCUGCACCUCUCAUCUUUAAUCGCUUGGGACUUAGGUGCUUUUCAGAGCCAACGAACCAAACAUUCCUAAAGAAAACACUGGCCUGGGAAACUCAGUGAGAAACCACCUGAGCGAAUCAGCAAACGAGAAGCAGUGACUCACAUGAUGCCCAGCUGCUGUUACCAGUCCUUCUCGGCACUGAGUGCUGACUCUUGGAGGCUGCAGUUCUACACUGUAACUCACCACGCUCACGACAGCGAUGGUUCGUAUCACCUCUUAAGUGUUCAAAGGCACUUUAAAUAACUGUGGAAAUUAGCCGAUCUCGCACACAAAUAAAAAGAUGAUGAACCUGAUGGAGCAACACUCAGAGCAGCCUCUGGCAGCACCAGACAGUGAGCCAGGCAGGGCGAUUCUCCAAGCCAGCGCACCUAAGGCUAAAUGACAGUCAUAAAACCCAGGCGUUGGAAUAAACUGCUGCUGACACAUCGUGGUUCGGCUACACCCUCCUUGGGUCUGCUGCUUUAUUCUCUGGACAUUUGUGCAUGGGGUCUGGUGUGUUGUCGGGUGUGGCCACUUUGCAUACACAGUAUGUGAACGAGAAUCCAGGCCAAGUCCAGCCUAAAGCUUUACUCAGCAUGACAGCAUCCAUCGCUAUAAAGAGACUUGCAGAGAACCCACCUGUCCACUGCAUCCCCAGGUGAGACGCCGAUGCACUCAGCAGGCGGCAGUAACUCUGGUCCUUUGCUGCUGGUCCGCAGGGGCUGAACUUUCUCCCUGAAGCACCUCCGAGUGGAAUUAGACACCAACGGAAGAAGCUAAAUCCAUUGCUUUCUGGAUUAGAAAAGGCUUCUUUUUUUGGUUUCACAAAUGCCGAACUAAAAGAUUUCAAAAGGUUGAAAGCCCGACUGAGAGGAGUUUUUCCUGUCAGGACGUGUAACCAGCAGCAGUGCCAGUCACACCUAAGGCUGCAUUCCUUCUGCCUGGCUCCCCGUGAUGUCAUCUGCCCUGGAGAGAAAGUGAGCCCAGGGCCCAGGUUCAGGUCUUGGCAGGUUUGCACGUGGAAUCUAUUGCAAAUAUUACUGUUAUGUUUCUUGAUGACAUGCAACCGUCAUAGAUUUUUCUGUUGGAUGAUUCUGAACAAAUUUUCUCCUUGUGUUUAGCAGUUACAAGACUGAGAUGACCCGCAAACAGUAAUUCCCCAUUUGUACUAAUGGGUAUUUAAGCAGAAAGGUUAGUUUUAGUGGGAUAAAACUCACAUUUUCCAAAAGAUAUUUAUUAAAAAGAUGAAACAUCAUUUAAAAAGAUUUUGUUUAAAAAAUAACAGUAUUUAUGGGUUUAUAAAUAGUUGCUGUGAGUUUUUUUUUUUUCUUUUUAAUUUGAAUUAAGGGAGAAAAGAGGAGUUCCUGUCGUGGCGCAGUGGUUAACGAAUCCAACUAGGAACCAUGAGGUUGCGGGUUCGGUCCCUGCCCUUGCUCAGUGGGUUAACGAUCCAGCGUUGCUGUGAGCUGUGGUGUAGGUCGCAGAUGCGGCUCGGAUCCCGCAUUGCUAUGGCUCUGGCGUAGGCUGGCGGCUACAGCUCCGAUUCAACCCCUAGCCUGGGAACCUCCAUAUGCC
ensembl:lncRNA